GAUGAAGAACGUAGCGAAAUGCGAUAAGUAAUGUGAAUUGCAGAAUUCAGUGAAUCAUCGAAUCUUUGAACGCACAUUGCGCCCUCUGGUAUUCCGGGGGGCAUGCCUGUUCGAGCGUCAUUGCUGCCCUCAAGCACGGCUUGUGUGUUGGGCCUCCGUCCUCCUCCCGGGGGACGGGCCCGAAAGGCAGCGGCGGCACCGCGUCCGGUCCUCGAGCGUAUGGGGCUUCGUCACCCGCUCUUGUAGGCCCGGCCGGCGCUUGCCGACACAUCAAUCUUUUUUCCAGGUUGACCUCGGAUCAGGUAGGGAUACCCGCUGAACUUAAGCAUAUCAAUAGCGGAGGA
rnacentral:misc_RNA from 1 species